rnacentral:rRNA from 1 species
UGGGGAAUAUUGCACAAUGGAGGGAACUCUGAUGCAGCGACGCCGCGUGAACGAAGAAGGCUUUCGAGUCGUAAAGUUCUUUUAUAUGGGAAGAUAAUGACGGUACCAUAAGAAAAAGCCCCGGCUAACUACGUGCCAGCAGCCGCGGUAAUACGUAGGGGGCUAGCGUUGUCCGGAAUCACUGGGCGUAAAGGGUUCGCAGGCGGAAAUGCAAGUCAGGUGUAAAAGGCAGUAGCUUAACUACUGUAAGCAUUUGAAACUGCAUAUCUUGAGAAGAGUAGAGGUAAGUAGAAUUGUUAGUGUAGCGGUGAAAUGCGUAGAUAUGAAAAAGAAUGCCGGUGGCGAAGUCGGCUUACUGGGCUCAUUCUGACGCUGAGGAACGAAAGCGUGGGUAGCAAACAGG